GUGCUCGCUUCAGCAGCACAUAUACUAAAAGUGGAACAAUACGGAGAAGAUUAGCAUGGCCCCUGUGCAAGGAUGAACGCAGUUCAUGAAGUGUUCCAUAUUUAA